ACAAAAAGAAAAGAGAAAAGAAGGAGAUGUGCAGCCUCACCUAUUCCAAGGGUCCUAAUAGGACCAAGUUGUCAUAUAAGCUUCUGUUCCGGGCCUGACAGUGAAUACAUGCCAUAGCCAUGUCCUUUAUGCAACAUAUUUGCAAAAGAUUUUUACAUGGAAGCCACUACUCCAGUAUCCCAAUCAGCAUCUAACUCAGAUACAGUCUUCUAUAAGUUAAAACAUGGCCUAUGAAGCGAUUUUUUAAAAGAUUUGUAGUCAAGAAGAGACACAUUCUUUGGGGGAGGAUGAGGCAACUGGAGUCGCCAAUGACCUUAGAGAGCUGGAACUUGAGACACACAGAGGGAAUGUGUGAAUUCUAGGAUCACCAAUGGAAUCAAUAAGCUUUUACCUGUAGGGGAUAAAUCCUGGAAGAAUUCUAGAGUUUGAAACUGUCUGGACCAUUUGAAGCAGCAUCUCAGAGGCAUCAGAGCUGAUGAAUACUCAGUCAGAAGAAAUGCAGGCCUGCAGGUUUGUCCACAAAGUGUUCCCAUCAACCGUGACGGCUCUCUCAAAUGUUACUGUCUAUAUGAAUCCACCUUGGGAUAUUAGUAAAAUGAGUUUCUGAUACAGAAGAUCUAGAAAGCGCCUGAAAUGCUGAUAUUCUGUCUCCCAGGUGGAGGAGUUCAGCUAUUACCUUGACUUUGCCGAAGUCCUAGGCACUCCCAUGCCCUCAGAGUCUCAUUUUGAAUCCAGGCACUUAGGGAUGCUAUUUUUCCACAUCAAACAGCUUCCUCCCAGCCAAAGAAUUCUGGUGACAGUAGUGAAGAUAAUUUUCACUCCUGCUUACAGAAUGACAAAGCAAAAGCAAAGAGGAGAAGAAUGAAGUAAAGACAACCAAAGGAAAAGACUGAUGGCUCCUUAAGAAUGAUCUUGAUAAAGGAAUGGUGGCUGAGGGGUCCAUCUCCUAAACCACCCACCUUACUGACUCCCUAGAGCAAUGCCAUACAGAAAGCUGCACCUUGAGGGGAAGACACAAGAAUCCUGGAGUGGAAAAAAAUUGGGUAAUGAUGACAGCCUUCGAGGUCUUGAGAGUAAAGCAGAAGCAAAAAAAAAGUGUUAUUUUUAUCUUUUGAAGAUGGUUCCCUCUUAAGACUUUUGCGAAUGAUUAAGAUUUCAAUUAUGUUCCAGGAAAAAAAUAAGAUUUUUGCUUGACAAAAAAAAUUUUUGUCUAGAACAGGUGGGAAGGAAGAGAUAGUUUAGCCACAUCCAAGAGACCUGUAAAUUGGGUACAGUGAAGUGAAUGGUGUACCAGUCAUAAAAGAAUGUUAACUGGAGAAGUCUCUGCUGUCUUCCUGUAACUGAGGGGGGUGUAACCAUCCUUGUGGAAGCGUCCACUUUUAUUGAAGAUUGGCUAAAUAAAUCUGUGCCUACUGAAACUCAA
ensembl:lncRNA LINC02180 long intergenic non-protein coding RNA 2180